rnacentral:rRNA from 1 species
CCCUUAGAUGUUCUGGGCUGCACGCGCGCUACACUGAUACUUUCAGCGAGUCCACCACCUUGCCUGGGAAGGUGGGGUAACCUCUGGAAAGUGCAUCGUGAUGGGGAUCGAUUAUUGUAAUUAUUAAUCUUCAACGAGGAAUUCCUAGUAAGCAUGUGUCAUCAGCCCGUGCUGAUUACGUCCCUGCCCUUUGUACACACCGCCCGUCGCUACUACCGAUUGAAUGGUUUAGUGAGAUCUUCGGAUUGGCGCCACUGCGGCUCAGCAAUGGGCUCGGUGGAUGCCGAAAAGUUGAUCAAACUUGAUCAUUUAGAGGAAGUAAAAGUCGUAACA